rnacentral:rRNA from 1 species
GAGAGAGACAUGCGCGCAUAUCAAUAAGCGGAGGAAAAGAAACUAACAAGGAUUCCCUUAGUAACGGCGAGUGAAGCGGGAAGAGCUCAAAUUUGAAAUCUUCAAGGUUCUACCUUGACGAAUUGUAGUUUAAUAGAAGUGUUUUCUGUUAGGUGUAGUGGCAAAAGUUCUUUGGAAUAGGACAUCAUAGAGGGUGAGAAUCCCGUAUUUGGUCAUUCCUCCUAGCGUUGUGAUACACUUUCAACGAGUCGGAUUGUUUGGGAAUGCAGUCCAAAAUGGGUGGUAAAUUUCAUCUAAAGCUAAAUAUUGGCGAGAGACCGAUAGCGAACAAGUACCGUGAGGGAAAGAUGAAAAGAACUUUGAAAAGAGAGUUAAACAGUACGUGAAAUUGUCAAAAGGGAAGCGUUUGACACCAGUGUUGUUUUUCCGAAAAUCAAUUACGAAUGUUUUAUUUUUGAGGAGUUAUGACUUCAUCGGCUUGCUCCUUUCUUUACUGAAACUUUCUUAAUGCACUUUUCGGUUAACAAGUCAACAUCAAUUUCUUUUGUUGUAAAAGGGUAUGAGGAAGGUGGCUUUCUUUUCGGAGAAAGUGUUUAUAGCCUUGUGCCUCUGCAAUCGGAGAGAUUGAGGUCUGCAGCGUAGAUCCUUCGGGGUUAGAUACAUUUGUGCUAAGUUAUAGCCUUUCAUAGACAACUUGUUGACUAUGUUUAGUCUUGUAGCUUACUCGCUGACGCUAUUUUACCUACGCUUAGGAUGUUGAUAGUCACAGCGUGUAC